rnacentral:rRNA from 1 species
CACCGCGGUUAAACGAGAGGCCCUAGUUGAUAGUAUUACGGCGUAAGGGUGGUUAAGGAGAACAAAGUAAAUAAAGCCAAAUGGCCCCUUGGCCGUCAUACGCUUCUAGGUGUCCGAAGCCCAAUUUAAACGAAAGUAGCUUUAAUAAAAUUCGCCCGACCCCACGAAAGCUGAGAAACAAACUGGGAUUAGAUACCCCACUAUGCUCAGCCAUAAACCCAGACGCCGAGCUACAAUUAGGCGUCCGCCAGGGUACUACGAGCAUCAGCUUAAAACCCAAAGGACCUGACGGUGCCUUAGACCCCCCUAGAGGAGCCUGUUCUAGAACCGAUAACCCCCGUUAAACCUCACCACUUCUGGCCAUCCCAGCCUAUAUACCGCCGUCGCCAGCUUACCCUGUGAAGGUAAUAAAAGUAAGCAAAAUGGGUAUAACCCAAAACGUCAGGUCGAGGUGUAGCGCACGAAGUGGGAAGAAAUGGGCUACAUUUUCUGUUAUCCAGAACACUACGGACAUAUUACAUGAAAUAGUACUUGAAGGAGGAUUUAGUAGUAAAAAGGAAAUAGAGUGUCCUUUUGAACCCGGCUCUAAGGCGCGUACACACCGCCCGUCACUCUCCCCUGUCAACAUGCAUUAAAGAUUACUAACACCAAAGCACUGACGAGGGGAGGCAAGUCGUAACAUGGUAAGUGUACCGGAAGGUGCACUUGGAUUAAACCCAGGGCAUGGCUGAG